rnacentral:rRNA from 1 species
AGUUACUUUCAGUGGCGAGGUUAACUGCAUAAGGGAGCCGUAGAGAAAUCGAGUCUGAAUAGGGCGAUAGUCGCUGGGAGUAGACCCGAAACCGGGCGAUCUAGCCAUGUGCAGGAUGAAGGUUGGGUAACACCAACUGGAGGUCCGAACCGGGUAAUGUUGAAAAAUUAUCGGAUGACGUGUGGCUAGGAGUGAAAGGCUAAUCAAGCCCGGAGAUAGCUGGUUCUCCCCGAAAGCUAUUUAGGUAGCGCCUCGUGAAUGAUUACUGGGGGUAGAGCACUGUUUCGGCUAGGGGGCUGUCAUGGCUUACCAAACCGAUGCAAACUCCGAAUACCGGCUAAUUGGAUCACGGGAGACACACGGCGGGUGCUAACGUCCGUCGUGGAGAGGGAAACAACCCAGACCGCCAGCUAAGGUCCCCAAGUACUAGUUAAGUGGGAAACGAUGUGGGAAGGCAUAGACAGCCAGGAGGUUGGCUUAGAAGCAGCCACCCUUUAAAGAAAGCGUAAUAGCUCACUGGUCGAGUCGGCCUGCGCGGAAGAUGUAACGGGGCUAAAACUAGUCACCGAAGCUGCGGAUGUGCGCGAAGGCGCACGUGGUAGGGGAGCGUUCUGUAGGCUGAUGAAGGUGCAUUGAGAGGUGUGCUGGAGGUAUCAGAAGUGCGAAUGCUGACAUGAGUAACGAUAAUGUGGGUGAAAAGCCCACACGCCGGAAGUCCCAGGUUUCCUGCACGACGUUAAUCGGAGCAGGGUGAGUCGGCCCCUAAGGCGAGGCUGAAGAGCGUAGUCGAUGGGAACCAGGUUAAUAUUCCUGGACUUUUUAUAAGUGGUGAAGUGGGGACGAAGAAGGCUAGGUGAGCCAGGCGUUGGUUGUCCUGGUACUUGCAUGUAGGGGGGAAGACUUGGCAAAUCCGGUUUUCCGAUACUCUGAGGUGCGAAGUGGUUCUGACCUUUUGGUACAGAGAAGUCAUUGAUGCCCGGCUUCCAGGAAAAGCUGCUAGCCAUAACUUAUAGAGAACCGUACCGCAAACCGACACAGGUGGACAGGUAGAGAAUACUAAGGCGCUUGAGAGAACUCGGGUGAAGGAACUAGGCAAAAUGGUACCGUAACUUCGGGAGAAGGUACGCCCUUUCUGGUGAUGGGAUUUACUUUCAGAGCUGGAGAGGGCCGCAGAGACCAGGUGGCUGCGACUGUUUAUUAAAAACACAGCACUCUGCAAAUUCGUAAGAAGACGUAUAGGGUGUGACGCCUGCCCGGUGCCGGAAGGUUAAUUGAUGGGGUUAUCUUCGGAGAAGCUCUUGAUCGAAGCCCCGGUAAACGGCGGCCGUAACUAUAACGGUCCUAAGGUAGCGAAAUUCCUUGUCGGGUAAGUUCCGACCUGCACGAAUGGCGUAACGAUGGCCACACUGUCUCCACCCGAGACUCAGUGAAAUUGAAAUCGCUGUGAAGAUGCAGUGUACCCGCGGCUAGACGGAAAGACCCCGUGAACCUUUACUAUAGUUUUGCACUGGACUUUGAUGAUGACUGUGUAGGAUAGGUGGGAGGCUGUGAAGUGAGGACGCUAGUUCUCAUGGAGCCGCCCUUGAAAUACCACCCUGUUGUUAUUGAGGUUCUAACUUGGUCCAGUAAUCCUGGAUGAGGACAGUGUAUGAUGGGUAGUUUGACUGGGGCGGUCUCCUCCCAAAGAGUAACGGAGGAGCACAAAGGUACCCUCGGUACGGUCGGACAUCGUACCAAGAGUGUAAAGGCAAAAGGGUGCUUGACUGCGAGAGUGACGGCUCGAGCAGGAACGAAAGUUGGUCUUAGUGAUCCGGUGGUUCUGAAUGGAAGGGCCAUCGCUCAACGGAUAAAAGGUACUCCGGGGAUAACAGGCUGAUACCGCCCAAGAGUUCAUAUCGACGGCGGUGUUUGGCACCUCGAUGUCGGCUCAUCACAUCCUGGGGCUGAAGCAGGUCCCAAGGGUAUGGCUGUUCGCCAUUUAAAGUGGUACGCGAGCUGGGUUUAGAACGUCGUGAGACAGUUCGGUCCCUAUCUGCCGUGGGCGUAGGAAAAUUGAGAGGAGCUGCUCCUAGUACGAGAGGACCGGAGUGGACGAACCUCUGGUGCACCGGUUGUCACGCCAGUGGCAUGGCCGGGUAGCUAAGUUCGGACGGGAUAACCGCUGAAAGCAUCUAAGCGGGAAGCCUCCCUCAAGAUGAGUUUUCCCAUGAAGCCCGUUGAAGACUACGACGUUGAUAGGCAAGGUGUGGAAGCGCAGUAAUGUGUGAAGCUAACUUGUACUAAUUGGCUGAUUGUCUUGACCAUAUAAUCUGAG